GGCUCGAUUACCAUUUUGACUCACCGCAAAGAAGAUCUGUGUUGACUGAUGUUUGGUGGAGCAAGUGAAGAGGAGGCUUGGUUUUGGCUCGAGAUAGGGUUGAUGCACAAGUGCAAAUGAUGGGUUAGUUAUGGUAAUGGAGUAAAAUUUGGCUAUACACUUGAAUCGAAUAAGAGAUUUGACUGGAAGUCUUGUGAAUAUACCAAAUAUAAGAUCAUGAGGGACUGAUUUUGAUGAUGAUGAAAUGCUUCUCACCUCUAAGAUUGAUCUUGACGGUGAAUUUAGUGUCACCCUUCUUUUCUUUGCUUCUCUCACUUUAGUGGCUGAAGCAGUAGGCUUCUUAUCA
rnacentral:misc_RNA from 1 species